rnacentral:rRNA from 1 species
UAAUACGGAGGGGGCAAGCGUUGUUCGGAAUUAUUGGGCGUAAAGGGUAUGUAGGCGGCCGUGUAAGUCAAGCGUGUAAGCCCGUGGCUCAACCACGGAAUUGCGUUUGAAACUACUUGGCCUGAGUGCAGGAGAGGAAAGCGGAAUUCCCAGUGUAGCGGUGAAAUGCAUUGAUAUUGGGAAGAACAUCUGUGGCGAAGGCGGCUUUCUGGUCUGUUACUGACGCUGAAAUACGAAAGCCAGGGGAGCGAACGGGAUUAGAUACCCCGGUAGUCCUGGCCGUAAACGAUGGGCACUAGGUGCAGGAGGUAUCGAUCCCCUCUGUGCCGUAGCUAACGCAUUAAGUGCCCCGCCUGGGGAGUACGGUCGCAAGGCUG